rnacentral:rRNA from 1 species
AGUGAACGCUGGCGGUAGGCCUAACACAUGCAAGUCGAACGGCAGCACAGUAAGAGCUUGCUCUUACGGGUGGCGAGUGGCGGACGGGUGAGGAAUACAUCGGAAUCUACUUUUUCGUGGGGGAUUACGUAGGGAAACUUACGCUACUACCUCAUACGACCUACGGGUUAAAUCAGGGGUUCUUCGGACCUUUCGCGAUUGAUUGAGCCGAUGUCGGAUUAGCUAGUUGGCGAGGUAAAGGCCCACCAAGGCGACGAUCCGUAGCUGAUCUGAGAGGAUGAUCAGCCACACUGGAACUGAGACACGGUCCAGACUCCUACGGGAGGCAGCAGUGGGGAAUAUUGGACAAUGGGCGCAAGCCUGAUCCAGCCAUACCGCGUGAGUGAAGAAGGCCUUCGGGUUGUAAAGCCCUGUUGUUGGGGAAGAAAAGCAGCAGGUUAAUACACCGCUGUUCUGACGGUACCCAAAGAAUAAGCAACGGCUAACUUCGUG